rnacentral:lncRNA from 1 species
AAGGACAUCCUCAAGUAAGUGUGGCUUCUCGUUCACCCUGUUGGGACUGGGACUGGGGCAAGGGUGAGGCUGGGGCACCCCACAUGGGCUGGCUGUGCUCCUGGGGCUGAGGCAGAGCAUCAUAAUCUUUUCCCCACUGAUUUCAAAUGCUGUGUCAUGGGCUCAUUCUCAUUUACAUUGGGAUCUACCACUUCUACUAGUCUGCCUUGUAAAUGCCAAUGUCUGUUUCAUACAUUGUCCUUAUUAUAGCUUUAAACUGUUUUAAUACCUGAUAGGGACAAAUGUUUCCCCAGUUUCUCUUUUUUUCAGGGUUCCCCUGCAACACUCCUACAUUUUUUCCUGGAGGCUGGGACAGGAGCUAGGGACCUGACCCAUCAGUGAGGA